AUGUGCUUGGACCACUGCCCCCAAUCUCCCAGCCCAACUGUCAGGAAGCAAUUUAUCAAGAACAUCGAAGCCCCAAUCGUGAGAGCCAAGCAUCCAAAUCAAUUUCUCCACAUCAGAUUCAGAUGGAUUGAUAGUUCGACACUCCCAACUAUUCUUGUUUCCUUCCCCGAGCCAAUGGCCGCCGUCGACUUACGCUUCCACCUCCAUCCAGCCGCCUUCUCCUCUGUCCACCCGUCCAAUUCAAGCGCCAAACCGCACCGCCAUUGCCCACCUCAGAGGAUCCAUGCUGCAGCAAGAAGGUGCCUCCUCAGGGCGAAGUCUUCAAACGGGCACCCGCAGAUCGGGGCCUCCUUCAGCGAUGGGGCGCUAGAUGCUAAGCCGUCUGGAGCUGGAGGCCCGGCGCCGGAGCAGGGAGAGCACACCGUCAGCAUCACAGUCGUCGGAGCCUCCGGGGAUCUUGCCAAGAAGAAGAUCUUCCCGGCGCUCUUCGCCUUGUUCUACGAGGACUGGCUCCCCGAGCAUUUUACAAUCUUUGGUUAUGCUCGUAGCAAAAUGAGCGAUGAAGAGCUCAGGAACAUGAUUAGCAUGACCCUAACCUGCCGGAUUGAUCAGAGGGCGAACUGCAGUGAGAAGAUGGAUCAAUUUCUGAAGAGAUGCUUCUAUCAGUCCGGACAGUACAACUCAGAGGAAGGAUUUUGCGAAUUGGAUAGAAAGCUUACAGAAAAAGAGGCUGGAAAGCUACCAAACAGGCUGUUCUACUUGUCUAUCCCACCAAAUAUAUUCGUGGACGUGGUAAGAUCCGCCAGCCGCACCGCUUCACUGCCGAGUGGGAGUGGCUGGACGAGGUUUAUAGUGGAGAAGCCAUUCGGCCGCGAUUCUGAGUCCUCGGGGGAGCUUACCCGAUCCCUGAAGAUGUAUUUAGAGGAGGAGCAAAUCUUCAGGAUUGACCAUUAUCUGGGCAAGGAGCUGGUCGAAAACCUGUCGGUCCUCCGUUUCUCCAACCUUGUGUUCCAGCCACUGUGGUCGAGGGACUACAUUCGGAAUGUGCAGCUCAUAUUCUCCGAAGAUUUCGGCACCGAGGGUCGAGGCCGCUACUUCGACAACUACGGGAUCAUCCGGGACAUCAUGCAGAACCACUUGCUGCAGAUACUGGCCCUGUUCGCCAUGGAGACUCCGGUCAGCCUCGCCGCCGAGGACAUUCGCAACGAGAAGGUGAAAGUGUUGCGAUCGAUGAGGAAGCUGAAGGUGGAGGACGUGGUGGUGGGGCAGUACAAGGGCCACACGCGGGGCGAGAAGUCGUUCCCGGCGUACGUGGACGACCCGACGGUGCCCAACGACAGCGUGACCCCGACGUUCGCGGCGGCGGCGCUCUUCAUCGACAACGCGCGGUGGGAUGGGGUGCCGUUCCUGAUGAAGGCCGGCAAGGCGCUGCACACGCGGCGGGCGGAGAUCAGGGUGCAGUUCCGGCGCGUGCCCGGGAACCUGUACCGGGGGAGCGUGGGCGCGGACCUGGACAUGGCCACCAACGAGCUGGUGCUCCGGGUGCAGCCCGACGAGGCCAUCUACCUCAAGAUCAACAACAAGGUGCCCGGGCUCGGGAUGAGGCUCGACAGCGGCAACCUCAACCUCUUCUACUCGGAGCGGUACCAGCGGGAGAUACCGGACGCGUACGAGCGGCUCCUCCUGGACGCCAUGGAGGGGGAGCGCCGGCUCUUCAUCCGGAGCGACGAGCUCGACGCGGCCUGGGCCAUCUUCACGCCCGUGCUCAGGGAGCUGGAGGACAAGAGGGUGGCGCCGGAGCUCUACCCGUACGGCAGCCGGGGCCCCGUCGGCGCGCACUACCUCGCCGCCAACUACAACGUCAGGUGGGGGGACAUCAGCAGCGACGGAUCCUUCUAG
rnacentral:rRNA from 1 species